CACGAAGUAGGCCCUUGAUGCCACGCCAGCAUUUUGUUGGAGGAGAUUCCAAGGUUCCAGAUUCCAUGUUUUACAGCUUACCGACGUAUCUCGCCUGAAAAUGAGCAAUGCAGCCUAUUUUCGUGCGAAUGAAGGAUGCAUCAAAUGCAGACUACCAAAUUUUUCGAGAACCCUUAUUAUUAUAAAUCUUCAGCUAGAACAUCCCCCAUUAAGUCGU